rnacentral:rRNA from 1 species
AGAACGAACGCUGGCGGCAUGCCUAAUACAUGCAAGUCGAACGAACACUUCGGUGUUAGUGGCGCACGGGUGCGUAACGCGUGGGAAUCUGCCCUUGGGUUCGGAAUAACAGUUGGAAACGACUGCUAAUACCGGAUGAUAUCGAAAGAUCAAAGAUUUAUCGCCCAGGGAUGAGCCCGCGUAGGAUUAGCUAGUUGGUGAGGUAAAGGCUCACCAAGGCGACGAUCCUUAGCUGGUCUGAGAGGAUGAUCAGCCACACUGGGACUGAGACACGGCCCAGACUCCGUACGGGAGGCAGCAAGGUAGGGAAUAGUUGGACAAGUGGGCGACAAGCCUGACUCCAGCAA